AAGGGUCAGAAUUAUAAAAAAAAAUACCAUGUAAAAAGUAAUGACAUCAUGCAUCUAUAAAAAAAUUUAUAUUGAUUUGGUCAUUUUUAAAAAAGUUAUGGCAGUUUCAAGUAAAAAAAGGGGGGUGGCGGCACAGUGGUGACGUGGCAUAGUUGGAUCAAGUAUAAUGAUAUCUGACAGUGAUUAAAAUCACUAUCAAAAAUAAACGCUUCGAUGCAAAUCUUUAGAUAAUGAUUAAUUUUAAAAAAAUUGGUGUUUUAUUCCAAAAGCUACUUGAUCUGCUGGUUUCUUAUUAAUAUCCUGAUUAAGAUAAAGUAUGUCGAAUGAAAAAGGGUUUAUUAAAAAAUAUUAUUUCUCAUAAAAAAAUUGUGUGGAUCCAUACACUUUUCAAUAAGUUAUAGCAUUAUAAAGUUAAAUAUAAUAUAAAUAAUAAAAUCGAGAAUUUUCACACGAAAAUAGCAUUCGGUAGCCAUUUUCGCCGUGAAGACAAGUCCAGAGGUCAAAUUUUUUUUUUUCAAAUUAAAGUAUAUUACAUUAGCUUUAAUUUAAGAUAUAUAUAAAAGUGUCAGACCUUCCGGAACAUUUUCAAAAGUUAUGUUGAAAAAGUAAAUUUUUUGUGAAAAAGUUGUCAUUUUAAAUCCCCCCCUGUGGGCAGGUUAAGUGUCAGAUUUACAAAAAAAAUAUACCAAAUGAUAAGUAAAGACAUCAAGCAUCUAUAUAAAAAAAAAUUAUAUUGAUAUGUUCAUUUUUGAAAAAGUUACGGCAGUUUUUAGUAAAAAAAAUUGAAAAAAUUUCGAAAAUUAGCGAUUUUUAAAUUUGUAAUUUUUUUGGAGGUUUCCCCCAUUUACGGGGAACGAGGGAAAUUUUUUCAAUUUUGAAGGGUAAUGUCUUCGACUAGAUACGAUUUGUGAUCUUUUGACGUAUCGUUGAAAGAAAUCCGUUCGGUGAGAGCUGAGAAAAAGUGGUAACAGACACAAAAAAAAAAAAAAAAAAAACAC